rnacentral:lncRNA from 1 species
UGUGGGGCCCCGGGGGGAGGGGGAUGGCAGAGGACAGAUGGUGGAUUAGAGGCAAAGCCAGGGCGGGGCUGCCACACGGCACAGUUAUCAUGGAGUCGCAUCUUGAUGGAGUCCAGCACCACACUUGCCUAAUGGUGAUAAUGGGACUUCCCAGGUUCCAUCGUCCCUUGAUGUUCUUUCUUUAAUCCGCACGAGAACUCCUGAUGUAGCUAGGCAAGAGUGACUAUUCUCAUUUUAUGGAUCAGGGGCUCAUGGCGUUGAAUGAUGCAGAGCUGAUGUGCACGUGUGAUGUACCUGAACGAGGGGGGCGUGCAGGUGUUAGGGUCUAGGUCUGGGCUGUUUCUGCUGCUUGGAAAGCCACGCUUGUGCCCCCACCCCCCUUCACGACGUAGUUCCAGGGUUACCUCUUUCAACAGCUGGUUUCUGAAUUUUCCUGCAGGAGCUGGGUGCCCCUUCUUUGAGGAAAGUGCCUUUUCUGGAUCCCAGGGUCCUCUAGAAGGGCAGACAGCUUGGUGCCCCUACCCUGGAGGAGAAGCCUGGGAUCUCCCAGCUGGGUCCUGCCACCGCCUGGACCCUCGUCCACCCUCCUUCUUUCACUGACUACAUUAUACCGAGUUUGUUACACUCCUGCGGGGCUGCAGGCUUCUUCAAAGCAGGGAUGAUGUCUUCCAUCUUUCAAACACCAAAGCCUGCCUUUUUUUUUUUUUAAUAGGCAUUUCAUAAACGUCUGUGUGAACUCAAUCACAAACUUUUUAGAGAUAGGAUUUUAACUCAGGUCCUCUGACGCCAUCACCUCCUGCUUCUUUUAGGAGUGUGAGCUGUCAAACCAGAAAGUAGGGAAAAGCCUCUCCCAGGGGUGAACCAGCCAGCCAUAAAGGCAAAAUAAUUCCUAAUUACAGCUAAAGCUUGUCACCAGCUCUGCUUGUCUGCCCUGGCAACAGAACCUGGCAAAAAUCCUCUGGAUUUUUCUCAUCUCACUGUGUGCGAAAUGGGAAGAGUCAGUUCAGAUGCAGAGGGAGCGCCCUUUUUCAAGUGUGUUACAGGCACAGCUCCAAACAGGAAAGAGAGGCAGAAGGGAGACAAGAGGAAAAGAGAACAAGCGAGGGAAACAAGGAGACUUGUUUAGAAGUGUGGUGGCAAGUGGGGUUCGGAUGGACGUGGAGGCGUCCCCAUCAUUUGUUUGACUCAAGGGUAGGGUCGGCUCGGGUUGUGUUCACAUGGACCCAGCGGCACAAAUGAGAACCUCCAUCCAUAGGACGUGCAGGGGCCAGGCUGUGUUCCACUUCCUGAGACUCUCUCAGGAUCAUCCCCAGUGGAAUCAAUCAUUUCCCUGCUCAUUUCAGGCAGGUCUGAGUGGCAGUGCCUUCUUAGCUCCAUGAAUGUGGCUCCUGCGCCAUUUCAUAUUAGUAUGUGGGAGUUUGGGUUUGUAAGAAUUAACCUUGAGCAAAAAUAUUGCUAGUAUUGGAGCAGGAGCAGGACCGGUGUGUGGGGGGGGAAUUGUUGGUGAGAUUUGAGAGGACUUGGGAGAAGUCGUCUCUUCUAAGAUCAUCAUAUAGUGAUUUUCCUUGUAACUUCCAGUACGUAGAACUCUGCUGGAUUUUAGAAGAAAUCCUGGGCUUUUAUUUGUUUGUAAAAAUGAUACUUGCUUGUUAUUAAAAAUUCGAGGGAGUUCCCAUUGUGGCUUAGGGGGUUAAGAACCUGACGUAGUCUCCACGAGGAUGUGGGUUUGAUCCCUGGCCUCACUCAGUGGGUUAAGGAUCCAAAGAUGCCGUGAGCUGUGGUGUAGGUCGCAGAUGAGGCUUGGAUCCCAUGUUGCUGUGGCUGUGUCAUAGGCCAGCAGCUACAACUCCGAUUUGACCCCUAGCCUGGGAAUUUCCAUAUGGGUGCGGCCAUAAAAAGAAAAAAAUUUUUUUGAGUAGUAUAUGAAAGCAUAAGAAAAAAAUCUUUUUUUAAAAAAAAACCUAUUUUUCAUUCCCCGGGGAGAGCGGGGAGAGAGUGGGAUGGACGGGCAUUUUGGGGCGGGGGGGGGAGGGCGUUGGAUGGAAACUGUUAUAUCUGGAAUGGAUGGGCCGUGGGGCCCUGCUGUACAGCACAGGGAACUGUGUGUGAUUCGGUCCCUUUGCUGUACAGCAGACACUGAAGAAACAUUGUAAAUCAACUAUACUUUAAUAGAAAAAUUUAAAAGAAGUGUAUUAAAAAAAACCCCUAAGAUUGCUUUAAAAAAAUAAAAACUAAUUUCACCACGCAAACAGCCAUUGGUAAAAGUUGGUGACCAUUAUUCAAGAUUCUCUGUAUAUAUUGGUAGACAUAUGAUGACUAGAAUAAUUUUAGGAAAAUGACCUUAUAUAGUUUUUUUUUUUUUAUUUUAGAAGAAUUAAGUUAGUUAAAAAAUUUAGUUGACAGAAGUUCCCGCUGUGGUACAAGGGGAUUGGUGGCGUCUCUAAAGUGCCAGCACGAAGGUUCGAUCAGUGGCCCACACAGUGGGUUAAAGAAUUUGAUUCCUGGCCCGGAGCUUCUUGUGCUGUAGAGUGGCCAAGAAAGAAAGAGGAAAAAAAAAAGUAAAAAAAAUUUUAGUUGACAAAUAAGAAACUAAAAUGAAUUCACUUUAGUUAUGUUUUCUAUAGGAUUUUAAAACUUUCAUCAUAUUCUUUUAAUUUUACAAUUUUUUUUAAGUUUUUAAAAUUUUUAUCUUCUUAGGGUCGCACCUGCGGCAGGUGGAAGUUCCCAGGCUAGGGGUUGAAUUGGAGCUGCAGCUGCUGGCCUAUGUCACAGCCACAGCCACGCCAGAUCCAAGUCUCAUCUUCGACCUACCCUGCAGCUCACGGCAACACCAGAUCCUUAACCCACUGAGCGAGGCCAGGGAUUGAACUCGCAUUUUCAUGGAUACUAGUUGGGUUCUUAACCCGCUGAGCCACAACGAGAACUCCUGGUGCAUUUUCUGCUUUUAGGUAGAUCAACUGCAAAUUGCUGAGCUUAUUUUUAAACUACUUUAAAAGAACUCUAUGGAUAAAAGCUCAACUGCACUCAAGUUCUAAUUGUUCAGCAUCUAAACUCUUCUUCUUUGUGUGACUUUCCAGAAGAAAGAUGUGUAAGUUUCACAGUAGGUUCAUCUUCCUGAUAACCUAAGAUAUCGUUCCUAAAAGGGAACGAUUUUGCAGGAGAGGUUGGAGGUGAGUGGAUGGAUGGGGUUUUACGUGGGUGUAUCAGGGAUCAGAGGAGAGUCCUGGCCACAGGUAACUGUCAUUCACUGGGAGCACAGCGUGUCUGUGCCUUUUGAAGAUAACCAUUCAUCACUGCAGCCUUCCACAGGCUCCCUGUCCUUUACAGUAAGAAUGGUCAAAACAAACCCUAGGUAGGUUUUCACUCUGAAUGACAUUUCAGAACCAAUGAGUAGUAGAUCUUCUGGCAAAAUUGCUAUAUCACUAUCCUGUGAUUUAGGGAGUUAGAUAAAAAGAUUAGACUUUAUAGAAAUAAAAUACAGCAUCUAGUGGGACGCCAGGACAGACAUUUUAUAAGCGCCUAAGUUUAUCAAACGGUAGUCAAACAAAAAUGAGAUUUUCUCCUCUCUCGAUUUUUCCUGGAAAGAGGGGCCACCAGCUAGAAGGUUUAAGCUGAGAAGUAUUCAGUGUGGUAUUUCAGAAGAGGAGGGGAAGGCCAGUCAACUUAAAGUUGCUUCCAGGGGUUCCUGUUGUGGCUCAGCAGGUGAAGAACCUGACAUAGUGUCCAUAAGGAUGUGGGUUUGAUCCCUGGACUUGCUCACUGGGUUAAAGAUCUGGCAUUUGCCGCAGGCUACAGCAUAGGUCACAGAUGUGGCUUGGAUCUGGUGUUGCUGUGGCUGUGGUAUGAGCUGCAGCUCUGAUUUGACCCGUAGCCUGGAGACUUCCAUAUACUGCAGGUGCGGCCAUAAAAAAAAUAAUUAAGGAGUUCCCGUCGUGGCGCAGUGGUUAACGAAUCCGACUAGGAACCAUGAGGUCGCGGGUUCGGUCCCUGCCCUUGCUCAGUGGGUUAACGAUCCGGCGUUGCCA